GAUGAGGUCGUCGGUGAGCCUCUCGGCCGCCGUCUGGCUGCCGCGGGGCGGCGAAGAUGGGGACCUUCACACACAACGAUGGAGAAGAGAGGUUAGGGGAUCGGGUGAAGGAGGAAGAGGAAGGUCGCGACGAUUCAUGGCUCUGCGUACCUGAUCCGAGUUGAUAUGCGUCCGUCCUCCCGUGGGCUAGAUCGGUCAGCUGGGGUGGCCAUGGCGCGGCGGCAGAGGAAGGCCCCGGCGGCGCCGUCGAGCACGGGGAGGGGAGUGGGGCAGCGGCGGCGGAUGGGCCGGCGAGGGGAUUGAAACCGACGGGACUGGCACUUUUGUCU
rnacentral:lncRNA from 1 species